rnacentral:rRNA from 1 species
UACGUAGGGGGCGAGCGUUGUCCGGAGUUACUGGGCGUAAAGCGCACGCAGGCGGUCUGCUAAGUUUGGAGUGACAGUUGGAGGCUUAACUGCCAAAGUGCUUCGAAAACUGACAGACUUGAGGGCUUCAGAGGGACACGGAAUUCCGGGUGGAGUGGUGAAAUGCGUAGAGAUCCGGAGGAACACCAAAGGCGAAGGCAGUGUCCUGGGGAGUACCUGACGCUCAGGUGCGAAAGCCAGGGGAGCGAACGGG